rnacentral:tRNA from 1 species
UGAGGGAGACCUACCCGCUCAAGACCGAAAGCAAGCAGCAAAUAAGUCGAGAACAGGUCAACCGGGGUCGAGCGCAGACCAGCAGCAGGCUUUUCAACUAUGAUUGGUUUGGCAAAAGUGAGGGCUAUUAGCUCAGGUGGUUAGAGCGCACCCCUGAUAAGGGUGAGGUCCCUGGUUCGAGUCCAGGAUGGCCCACUCAAGGAGAGAAGAAGCCCAAGCAAGGGGAGAACUCAGCAACCGGAGAGGGAAAAACCAAACGGACUGCUGGGAGAAACCAGCCAGCACCUUGAAAACUGCAUAAGCAAUGCGAAAACGAGCAGACAGGGAAAACCCCUGUGGAGAUAGU